AUCGCAAGUCUUUGGCACCUUGUCUUUACAGUAUCGUGCCAGCAACGUGGUGUUUCCAGCGGGUCGAGCUGCCAAAGGAUGAGGUGGAUCUGCACCGGAUCUGUCACCGUGACGUUGAUGCUCCUUUUCGCUGUUAAGAUAGAAAUUUCAUAACCAAAUGACAUGGCAACCAAAAACCUGUUUACCGAUAACUUAUACAAACUUUUUUGGAAAUUCUGAACGAAGUAAAACCAAACUGUAUUCCAACAAGAAGAUCUUUAGCGUAACAAGAAAGCAAACACAACUAAACGAAGACAAACACGAAAAUCACGCAUUUUUCAAGCGUUGAUCGGAUAACUAAGGAUACAAGAAUACAAACUUUUCGCAAGUUUCUUUCAAAUAGAUACUGCAUCGAAAAUGAAAAUUAACAUAUUUUCUAUUUAUGAAUAAUCUCAAUAUCAACUUUAAAGAGAUUUUAAAACAAUCAAUCAAAUCUCACGAAUUCCUUCGCAACCUAUAAUAAUUAAUCAAAAAACCAACCAAGUGGAAUCGUAGCACUCGGACAAGGGCAUCAUUUCUCCAUCCCAGACCAUGAGCGUGGUGGAACAAUCCUCGUCGCCGGUGGACAGGCUCGUGCCCACGUGGAACUUAAGGAUGGACAACCAGACGCGGAACUGCGGCUGCGGUGCUCGUGGUGCAGGCCUCCUCCACACGGUGCCCGGCCUCUGUUCCGGAAACUUGGGCAAAGGACGCGGCGGCGUUGGGCUAGGAAGUGCUGGGCCAGCGCCACGUAGAUGAUACAAGCACGUGCUGUUGCGUGGCAAAGAGUGGCGCGGGGAAGCGAGCACUCCUCCCCCACUCCCUUGCAACCAGAACUCGCAGUGUUUGUUCUUCGCGUACGUUGGCGAGUCUGCGUCCACGAACUUCACCUAGAAGCAUAGUUUAUUGGAUUUUUUUUCGGGGAGAAUGUGACUUUGUUAAGAGUAGUUUAGAGCAAGGAGAUUGAAGAGCACUUAUAUAAGUGAACAAUUUAUGCGUUGAAAAAUUACAUUAUAAUAUUAUUAGAAUUGAUGAAGAGAAAAAGGACAAAGAACAGGUUUCUUUAAAAUUCAUUGGACAGAAGAGAAAUUCUGAGAUAAUUGAUUUUGUAAAUUGAUAUUUAUGGUGGUUUUGAAUUAUUUUUGUAAUUUAUUAUUAUCAAGUCUCGAAAAAUUUUAUUAUAAUAAAAUUGACAUUGAAGAAAGGACACGAAGAAAAAUUUAUCACCAUUAACGUAUCCCUCGAUAUCUAAAAUUCUUUAUAAAUCCUCUUUCUCAAAGUCAUCGUUCAUCCCAGUGAACUUGCAUAAAACCAUUAAAAUUAUCUUGAAAAGCUAAAAAGAAGAAAUUCUAAAAUUCAUUACUCAUCUGAGAAAAGAUUCAUCAACAUUAACACUCCUUAAUCCAUUGCAAGGGAGUGGAGAAACGGAAGGAAGGAAAUG